UUACGACUACAUAUCAGGCAUAUCAAUAAGCGGAGGAAAAGAAGCUAACAAGGAUUCCCUUAGUAACGGCGAGUGAAGCGGGAAGAGCCCAAAUUUGAAAUCUUCAAGGUUCUACCUUGACGAAUUGUAGUUUAUAGAAGUGUUUUCUGUUAGUGGAGUGGCAAAAGUUCUUUGGAAUAGGACAUCAUAGAGGGUGAGAAUCCCGUAUUUGACCGUUACUUUCCAGCUGUGUGAUACACUUUCAAAGAGUCGGAUUGUUUGGGAAUGCAGUCCAAGAUGGGUGGUAAAUUUCAUCUAAAGCUAAAUAUUGGCGAGAGACCGAUAGCGAACAAGUACCGUGAGGGAAAGAUGAAAAGAACUUUGAAAAGAGAGUUAAACAGUACGUGAAAUUGUCAAAAGGGAAGCGUUUGACACCAGUGUUGUUUUCUCGAAAAUCAAUUAAAAAUGACUUGGAUUUUGUGUUGUAUUGACCUUAUAAGCUUUCUGCACUUUUUUCAUGUCAUUUUUUAAUGCACUUUUCGUUUAACAAGUCAACAUCAAUUUCUUUUGUUGUAAAAGGGUCAUUGGAAGGUGGCUUUCACUUCGGUGAAAGUGUUUAUAGCCUUUGACUUCUGCAAUCGGAGAGAUUGAGGUCUGCAGCGUAGAUCCUUCGGGGUUAGAUACAUUAGAUGCUAAGUUAUAGUUUUUCAUAGACAACUUGUUGACUAUAGUUAGUCAUGUAGCUUACUCGCUUAUGCCUAUUUUACCUACGCUUAGGAUGUUGAACGCGCACAGAGUCUC
rnacentral:rRNA from 1 species